CCUACGGGUGGCAGCAGUGGGGAAUAUUGCACAAUGGGGGAAACCCUGAUGCAGCGACGCCGCGUGAGUGAAGAAGUAUCUCGGUAUGUAAAGCUCUAUCAGCAGGGAAGAAAAUGACGGUAUCUGACUAAGAAGCCCCGGCUAAAUACGUGACAGAAGACGCGGCAAAACGUAGGGGGGAAGCGUGAUCCGGAUUUACUGGGGGAAAGGGGAGCGGAGGCGGAAUAUCGAGUCAGCGGUAAAAAGUCGGGGCUCAACCCCGUCUUGCCGUUGAAACUGAUGUUCUUGAGUGGGCGAGAAGUAUGCGGAAUGCGUGGUGUAGCGGUGAAAUGCAUAGAUAUCACGCAGAACUCCGAUUGCGAAGGCAGCAUACCGGCGCCCAACUGACGCUGAAGCACGAAAGCGUGGGUAUCGAACAGGAUUAGAUACCCGAGUAGUC
rnacentral:rRNA from 1 species